rnacentral:tRNA from 1 species
GGAAGGCAAUCACGCCCGGUGGCGUGGCCGGACUUCAAAAUCCGGUGGGGGACGGCAGCCGUUCCUGGGUGGGUUCGACUCCCACUGCCUUCCGCCA